ACAAUUAGCUGUUGGGACACUAGAUGUUUUAGUAGCGAAGCUAACGCGUGAAAUUGUCCGCCUGGGGAGUACGGUCGCAAGAUUAAAACUCAAAGGAAUUGACGGGGACCCGCACAAGCGGUGGAUGAUGUGGAUUAAUUCGAUGCAACGCGAAGAACCUUACCUGGUCUUGACAUGUACGGAAUCUCUUAGAGAUAGGAGAGUGCCUUCGGGAACCGUAACACAGGUGCUGCAUGGCUGUCGUCAGCUCGUGUCGUGAGAUGUUGGGUUAAGUCCCGCAACGAGCGCAACCCUUGUCAUUAGUUGCCAUCAUUAAGUUGGGCACUCUAAUGAGACUGCCGGUGACAAACCGGAGGAAGGUGGGGAUGACGUCAAGUCCUCAUGGCCCUUAUGACCAGGGCUUCACACGUCAUACAAUGGUCGGUACAGAGGGUAGCGAAGCCGCGAGGUGAAGCCAAUCUCAGAAAGCCGAUCGUAGUCCGGAUUGCACUCUGCAACUCGAGUGCAUGAAGUCGGAAUCGCUAGUAAUCGCAGGUCAGCAUACUGCGGUGAAUACGUUUCCCGGGUCU
rnacentral:rRNA from 1 species